GUGUCUUAGUGAUUAACGGCCGCGGUAAUUUGACCGUGCAAAGGUAGCAUAAUUAUUUGCCUUAUAAUUGAAGGCUGGAAUGAAUGGUUUGACAAGAGUAUUAUUGUCUCUUUUUUGUUUUUUGGAACUUUAUUUUUAGGUGAAGAAGCCUAAAUAUAAUUGAUAGACAAGAAGACCCUAUCGAGCUUUAAAUUAUAUAUAAGAUUUUAGGAUUUAAUCGUUAUAAUCAUAAUUAUAUAGGAUUUUUAGUUGGGGCGACUAGAGAAUAUUUAAAGCUUCUCUUUUGUUAGUUGUUAUAUUAUUUUGAUCCAGAUGAAAUGCUGAUUAAAAGAAUAAGUUACCGUAGGGAUAACAGCAUUAUCUUCUUAGAGAGUUCAUAUCGAAAAGCAGGUUUGUGACCUCGAUGUUGGAUCAGAAUAUCCUAAAGAUGUAGAAGUCUUUAAGGGUUGGUCUGUUCGACCAUUAAAAUUCUA
rnacentral:rRNA from 1 species